GAACUUUCCAGAGAUGGAUUGGUGCCUUCGGGAACUUAGAUACAGGUGCUGCAUGGCUGUCGUCAGCUCGUGUCGUGAGAUGUUGGGUUAAGUCCCGCAACGAGCGCAACCCUUUUCCUUAUUUGCCAGCGGGUAAUGCCGGGAACUUUAAGGAUACUGCCAGUGACAAACUGGAGGAAGGCGGGGACGACGUCAAGUCAUCAUGGCCCUUACGGCCAGGGCUACACACGUGCUACAAUGGUCGGUACAAAGGGUUGCUACCUCGCGAGAGGAUGCUAAUCUCAAAAAGCCGAUCGUAGUCCGGAUCGCAGUCUGCAACUCGACUGCGUGAAGUCGGAAUCGCUAGUAAUCGCGGAUCAGAAUGCCGCGGUGAAUACGUUCCCGGGCCUUGUACACACCGCCCGUCACACCAUGGGAGUUUGUUGCACCAGAAGUAGGUAGUCUAACCGCAAGGAGGACGCUUACCACGGUGUGGCCGAUGACUGGGGUGAAGUCGUAACAAGGUAAGCGUAGAUGA
rnacentral:rRNA from 1 species